rnacentral:rRNA from 1 species
GACGAACGCUGGCGGCGUGCUUAACACAUGCAAGUCGAACGAUGAAGAAGAGAAACGCGAACUUCGGUUCAAAUUUCACUUCGGAUUAGUGGCAGACGGGUGAGUAACGCGUGAGCAACCUACCUCUUACAAAGGGAUAGCCUCGGGAAACCGUGAUUAAUACCAUAUGACACAUUCAUAAGGCAUCUUAAGAAUGUUAAAGCUACGGCGGUAAGAGAUGGGCUCGCGUCCCAUUAGCUAGUUGGUGAGGUAACGGCCCACCAAGGCGACGAUGGGUAACCGGCCUGAGAGGGUGAACGGUCACAUUGGAACUGAGACACGGUCCAAACUCCUACGGGAGGCAGCAGUGGGGAAUAUUGCACAAUGGAGGAAACUCUGAUGCAGCGACGCCGCGUGAGCGAUGAAGGAAUUCGUUUCGUAAAGCUCUGUUCUAUGGGAAGAAAAGGACUGUACCAUAGGAGAAAGCCCCGGCUAAAUACGUG